ACUGCCCACUGUACAAAGGACUCUCACACACAGGAUUUCAGGGGCUCAUCCAAUCCUGAGUUCCCAGGCAUAAGGUGACAGCAACACACGCCAGGCAUUAGACAGAAGGUGCUUGCUUCCCAGGGCUAGGUGGGUCAGGGGCUUGGGAGAGAAGCCAUACUGAUGAGCACUGGGGAGAAGAAUGUCUCCUCUUGGCUGUGGGGCCUCAGCUCCUAAGAGCAGUGCAGGCGUCAGGCGAGGGCUGGAGAGGCAGCCUUCAGGCCUGCUGGGGCCUUCCCCAACGACUCCAGGCCCAGCGCCCAGCUAGUGAGGCUGCAGGCCAGUGUGGGCGCCUCCCCCUCCCCCAGUCUCCUGGGAGUUGGGGGGAUUCGAGGGGAUCAGCCAGGCCCCCCCCAGGCCAGCUGCUUCAGAACCUUCCGGCUCCAACAUUCCAUCCCCUCUUAAAGGGGAAGUGACUGCUUCCCAACUCCGCCUGUCCAGAUCUCUGCAGCUGGGUGGAAGGGAAGACCCCACCAGGGAGGGCAAGAUGGAGAACACCAAGAAACUCUUCCUGGCCCUCCCAUCCAGGCCCCAGGCCCUUCCCAACGUCUCCCCCUUGGCCACCAUCUGGAGGAAAAAGGCCAGAGUUGGAGGAAAGAUCAGCACCUGGGUCAGUGAGGACCAGUCCUCAGGGGUCGGGCGCUCUGUUCCGGUGACAACACCCCCAGCAGCCCACAAGGGAGAGGAGAGGCAGCUAAGAUAAACAUCGGCUCUGCAGACCCUGCUCCCGGCCGGCGCCCGAGCACCCCCGACACCCCUCCCCCAGCUCGGAGUCCCAGCGGAGCCCGCAGAUGCAGCAUACUCCAAAUAUGGGAGCCGCGCUGCUGAAAAGAUGAAGGGGCGAAGAGCGAGGGCCAGGCAACCCCAGUCUGCGGAAAAGCUGGCGCGGGCCCCUCGGCAGGAGGAGGACGGAGACUCGGGCUCCGGAACCAGCGAAAGGCCCCUCUCUCUUCCUUGGCACUGCCUACGGAGGUGGCAGCCAUCUCCUCCGCACCACUACUGGCAUUCAGCGAGCAGUGUCAUCUCCAUUUUACAAGCAUCAUGGCCACCCUCAGCCUCCCUGUGAGGCCCAAGAUUGUCAAAAAGAGAACCAAGAAGUUCAUCUGGCACCAGUCUCACUGAUAUUUCAAAAUUAAGCAGAACUGGCGGAAACCCAGAGGUGCUGACUACAGGGUUCGUAGAAGGUUCAGGGGCCAGAUCUUGAUGCCCAACACUGGUUAUGAGAGCAAUGAUAAAACAAAGCAUGUGCUGCCCAGUGGCUUCCGGAAGUUCCUGGGCCGCAACGUCAAGGAGCUGGAAGUGCUGCUGAUCUGCACAAAAUCUUCCUAUGCUGAGAUCACUCACGAUGUUUCCUCUAAGAACCUCAAAGCCAUCAUGGAAAGAGCUGCCCAGCUGGCCAUCAGAUUUACCAACCCCAAUGCCAGGCUGCGCAGUGAAAAAAAUGAGUAGACAGCUCAUGUGCAUGUUUUGUGUUUCAAUAAAAGUAUAAAAACUGCCAAAAAAAAA